UACGGGGGGGGGCAAGCGUUGUUCGGAAUUACUGGGCGUAAAGGGCUCGUAGGCGGCCAACUAAGUCGGAUGUGAAAUCCCCAGGCUUAACCUGGGAAUUGCAUCCGAUACUGGAUGGCUUGAAUCCGGGAGAGGGAUGCGGAAUUCCAGGUGUAGCGGUGAAAUGCGUAGAUAUCGGGAGGAACACCUGUGGCGAAAGCGGCUCACUGGACCACAACUGACGCUGAGGCGCGAAAGCUAGGGGAGCAAACAGG
rnacentral:rRNA from 1 species